GACGAACGCUGGCGGCGUGCUUAACACAUGCAAGUCGAACGGUAAGGCUCCAGCUUGCUGGGGUACACGAGUGGCGAACGGGUGAGUAACACGUGGGUGACCUGCCCUGCACUUCGGGAUAAGCCUGGGAAACUGGGUCUAAUACCGGAUAGGACCGCACCGUGAGGGUGUGGUGGAAAGUUUUUUCGGUGUGGGAUGGGCCCGCGGCCUAUCAGCUUGUUGGUGGGGUAAUGGCCUACCAAGGCGGCGACGGGUAGCCGGCCUGAGAGGGUGGACGGCCACAGUGGGACUAAGACACGGCCCAGACUCCUACGGGAGGCAGCAGUGGGGAAUAUUGCACAAUGGGCGGAAGCCUGAUGCAGCGACGCCGCGUGGGGGAUGACGGCCUUCGGGUUGUAAACUCCUUUCACCAUCGACGAAGGGUUUCUGACGGUAGAUGGAGAAGAAGCACCGGCUAACUACGUG
rnacentral:rRNA from 1 species